GCGGAGUAACGGCCCACCAAGGCGACGACGGGUAGCAGGCCUGAGAGGGUGGUCUGCCACACUGGGACUGAGACACUGCCCAGACUCCUACGGGAGGCUGCAGUCGAGAAUCUUCCGCAAUGGGCGCAAGCCUGACGGAGCGACGCCGCGUGGAGGACGAAGGCCCUAGGGUUGUAAACUCCUGUCACGGGUUAUGAAAGCGCACGUGUGAACAGCGCGCGCGUUGACGUAUGCCCGAGAGGAAGCACCGGCUAACUCUGUGCCAGCAGCCGCGGUAAUACAGAGGGUGCAAACGUUGUUCGGAAUCACUGGGCAUAAAGCGCACGUAGGCGGCUUCGUAAGUGUGGAGUGAAAGCCCACGGCUCAACCGUGGAAUUGCUCUGCAUACUGCGAGGCUCGAGGACGGUAGGGGAGAGCGGAACUCCUGGUGGAGCGGUGAAAUGCGUAGAUAUCAGGAGGAACACCGGUGGCGAAGGCGGCUCUCUGGUCCGUUUCUGACGCUGAGGUGCGAAAGCCAGGGUAGCGAACGGGAUUAGAUACCCCGGUAGUCCUGGCCGUAAACGAUGGGCACUAACUAGAGGCCUCUCCUGUGGGGUCUCUGGUGAAGCAAAUGUGAUAAGUG
rnacentral:rRNA from 1 species